AGAGUUUGAUCCUGGCUCAGAACGAACGCUGGCGGCGUGCUUAACACAUGCAAGUCGAACGAGAAGUACGGGUAGCAAUACCUGUAUUGUAAAGUGGCGCACGGGUGAGUAACACGUGGGUAAUCUGCCCUUGAGUUUGGGAUAACCCCGCGAAAGCGGGGCUAAUACCGAAUAAGACCACGGGGACCAAAGUCUCUGAGGUAAAAGGUGGCCUCUAUUCAUAAGCUACCACUUGAGGAUGAGCCCGCGGCCCAUUAGCUAGUUGGCGGGGUAAUGGCCCACCAAGGCUAUGAUGGGUAGCUGGUCUGAGAGGACGAUCAGCCACACUGGAACUGAGACACGGUCCAGACUCCUACGGGAGGCAGCAGUGGGGAAUAUUGCGCAAUGGGCGAAAGCCUGACGCAGCAACGCCGCGUGGGGGAUGAAGGUUUUCGGAUUGUAAACCCCUUUCGAUCGGAACGAAUCUCCUCCUGGUAAACAAUCAGGAGGAUCGACGGUACCGAGAGAAGAAGCCACGGCUAACUCUGUGCCAGCAGCCGCGGUAAGACAGAGGUGGCUAGCGUUGUUCGGAUUUAUUGGGCGUAAAGCGAACGCAGGUGGUUUGGUAAGUCAGGGGUGAAAGUCCGCAGCUUAACUGCGGCACUGCCUUUGAUACUGCCUUUCUUGAGUGCAUGAGGGGGAAGCGGAAUUCCGAGUGUAGAGGUGAAAUUCGUAGAUAUUCGGAGGAACACCGGUGGCGAAGGCGGCUUCCUGGCAUGCAACUGACACUCAUGUUCGAAAGCGUGGGUAGCAAACAGGAUUAGAUACCCUGGUAGUCCACGCCCUAAACGAUGGGCACUAGGUGUGGGAGGUAUCGACCCCUUCCGUGCCGCAGCUAACGCAUUAAGUGCCCCGCCUGGGGAGUACGGCCGCAAGGUUGAAACUCAAAGGAAUUGACGG
rnacentral:rRNA from 1 species